UACGUAGGGGGCAAGCGUUAUCCGGAUUUACUGGGUGUAAAGGGAGCGUAGACGGCCAUGCAAGUCUGAUGUGAAAACCCGGGGCUCAACCCCGGGACUGCAUUGGAAACUGUGCGGCUGGAGUGUCGGAGAGGCAAGUGGAAUUCCUAGUGUAGCGGUGAAAUGCAUAGAUAUUACACAGAACACCGAUUGCGAAGGCAGCUUGCUAGGCCGGAUCUGACACUGAUGCACGAAAGCGUGGGGAUCGAACAGG
rnacentral:rRNA from 1 species